rnacentral:misc_RNA from 1 species
GAUAAGAACGUAGCGAAAUGCGAUAAGUAAUGUGAAUUGCAGAAUUCAGUGAAUCAUCGAAUCUUUGAACGCACAUUGCGCCCGCUGGUAUUCCGGCGGGCAUGCCUGUUCGAGCGUCAUUUCAACCCUCAAGCUCUCCGGAGUUUGGUGUUGGGGCGCCUGGGGCUUUUCGACCUCAGGGCCCUCAAGUCCAUCGGCGGGACCGCCAGGACACUGAGCGCAGUAGUAUUAUUUCGCUCGGUAGGAUCUUCCACGGCGGGUCGAUCUGGCCGCUAAACCCCCCAAUUCUCACCAAAGGUUGACCUCGGAUCAGGUAGGAAUACCCGCUGAACUUAAGCAUAUCAAUAAGCGGAGGA